GCACGAAGUUAGCCGGAGCUUCUUCUGCGGGUACCGUCAUUAUCGUCCCCGCCGAAAGAGUUUUACAACCCUAGGGCCUUCAUCACUCACGCGGCAUGGCUGGAUCAGGGUUUCCCCCAUUGUCCAAGAUUCCCCACUGCUGCCUCCCGUAGGAGUCUGGGCCGUGUCUCAGUCCCAGUGUGGCUGGUCGUUCUCUCAAACCAGCUACGGAUCGUUGCCUUGGUAGGCUUUUACCCCACCAACUAGCUAAUCCGACGCGGGCCGCUCCUUCGGCGAUAAAUCUUUCCCCGUUAGGGCUCAUCCGGUAUUAGCUCAAGUUUCCCUGAGUUAUUCCGAACCAAAGGGCACGUUCCCACGUGUUACUCACCCGUGCGCCGCUCUGUAUUGCUACAGCGCUCGACUUGCAUGUGUUAGGCCUGCCGCCAGCGUUCGUU
rnacentral:rRNA from 1 species